GGGGGUCUGUAGCAGUAGAGUAGCCUUGUUGCUACGAUCUGCUGAGGCUCAGCUCUUGUUCUACAGAUUUGUGCUUUUGCACUCUCUCCGGUUGCGACCGAGUGGGGCAGUCCUCUGUCCUCCUCGGUAGCUAUCGUAGACAGUGGCUUUAUAGCAUUAGGACUUGUACAAGUAAGGUGGAUGUCGGAGUAGUAGCCCACUGCCUCUACUGAGCGCACGGCGAACCAAGGGAGGGCUCAAGGUCGACACAAUUUGUAGGCUUUGAAAGAUUUCUAUUACAUCUAAAGGGUAUAUACACUUACAAGGGUGCUUGAGGAUCUCCUCGGGCGCCCGUCAUGGCCUGAGGGCUGCAGGUGGGUGCGGUUUAUAAGGCGUGUAAAAGACAUACUAGUAUCUACGGCCAUAGGACUGAGAAAAUACCGCAUCCCGUCCGAUCUGGA
rnacentral:misc_RNA from 1 species